UGCUCCAAAAGGGUUACAGAAAGGGAGAGGUUUUUAGAGGCAAGACAAUUAAGACAUAAAUAGAAAAAGGAAUUAUUUUGGGUGAGAUCACAUUCCUUUGGGGGAUGGAGAGGGUACAUAUGACAGAUUAGCCCAUUGGUGCUGACCAGAAAAUUCCUAACUUGCUAUAUUUCUGGGGAGGUUGAAACUACAAAUACAUGAAGUAUAAAGUCCUAGUUUGGUGACUUGGCCUAGCAGAAGUGACUCCAUGCUGAGCCUGCAGUUUUCUGUUCAACAUAGACAUCUAAAGGAUUCCUCUGAGUACAGUCUGGUGGGAGAACAGGGACAGGCCAUGUGGAUAUGACUGCAGUGUCAAGGAGAGAUGGGGAUACUGCAGACAAGGCGGUAGCUGCCAGGACACAGUGCCACAUGACCCAGGAAUUUACCCUAAGAACGCAGCAAUCAAGUUUGAGAAAGACAGAUGCACCCCUAUGUUUAUUGCAGCACUAUUUACAAUAGCCAAGAAUUGGAAGCAACCUAAAUGUCCAUCAAUAGAUGAAUGGAUAAAGAAGAUGUGGUACA